rnacentral:lncRNA from 1 species
UGCAAAUGUGUUUUAGGGUAUGAAGGUAGCUCGGGUGGAGCCUGUUUGCAGUAUUGUUACCAGGUUACACUUCUCUGCACAUUGUGCAUUUGUGAUCAAGGUCAUCAGAGACAAGAUUAACAUGCAAAUGAAACAGCAGAAAGGAACAAAGAUACUGCAAUAUUGGAAAUUCAAAACUGACUAACAUGUGGAAAGACAUCUUUAUAGCAUCAGUGAGAAAACUAUAAGAAAGCUAAA